rnacentral:rRNA from 1 species
GCGCACCAGUCGAGAAUUUUUCUCAAUGGGCGAAAGCCUGAAGGAGCGACGCCGCGUGGAGGAUGAAGGCUUUCGGGUUGUAAACUCCUGUCAUUUGAGAACAAGUGCCAACAAGUAACUACUGUUGGCUUGAUAGUAUCAGAAGAGGAAGGGACGGCUAACUCUGUGCCAGCAGCCGCGGUAAUACAGAGGUCCCAAGCGUUGUUCGGAUUCAUUGGGCGUAAAGGGUGCGUAGGUGGCGCCGUAAGUGGGGUGUGAAAUUUCGGAGCUUAACUCCGAAACUGCAUUCCAUACUGCGGUGCUUGAGGACUGGAGAGGAGACUGGAAUUCAUGGUGUAGCAGUGAAAUGCGUAGAGAUCAUGAGGAAGACCAGUGGCGAAGGCGGGUCUCUGGACAGUUCCUGACACUGAGGCACGAAGGCUAGGGGAGCGAAC